GCCGGCAUAGCUCAGGGGUAGAGCAGCUGUUUUGUAAACAGCAGGUCCUCGGUUCAAAUCCGGGUGCCGGCUCCA
rnacentral:tRNA from 1 species